GAUGAACGCUGGCGGCGUGCCUAAUACAUGCAAGUCGAGCGAACGGACGAGAAGCUUGCUUCUCUGAUGUUAGCGGCGGACGGGUGAGUAACACGUGGAUAACCUACCUAUAAGACUGGGAUAACUUCGGGAAACCGGAGCUAAUACCGGAUAAUAUUUUGAACCGCAUGGUUCAAAAGUGAAAGACGGUCUUGCUGUCACUUAUAGAUGGAUCCGCGCUGCAUUAGCUAGUUGGUAAGGUAACGGCUUACCAAGGCAACGGUGCAUAGCCGACCUGAGAGGGGUGUCGCCCACCCCGGACUUGAGAACCGGCCCAAACCCCCACGGGGGGCAGCAGUAGGGAAUCUUCCGGAAGGGGCGAGAGCCUGACGGGGAAACGCCGGGUGAGUGAUGAAGGUUUUCGGCUCGUAAAACUCUGUUAUUGGGGAAGAAAAUUUGUGUAAUUAACGGGGCAAAUCUUGCGGGUCCCUAAUAAGAAACCCCCGCCAAACCCCGU
rnacentral:rRNA from 1 species